AAAAGGUCUGGAAAGAUACAUUGUUGAAUUUAAUGUUCGCAGGUAAAGGUACGAUAAGCGCAGCUCUUACUUGGUUAUUUUGGCUCCUGGCGACGAACCCUGAAGAAGAAGAAAAGAUUAGACAAGAGAUGCUAACAAAUUUACAUGUUGAUAAAUCAUCGUCAAAAUGGAAAUUCGAAGACCUAAAGAAACUGAACUACCUUCACGGGGCUGUGUGCGAAACACUACGACUGUACCCAACAAUAGCAUUUCAAUUCAAAUCUACAGUCGAGCACGAUAUUCUCCCAAGUGGUCAUGCGAUAAACGCGAAUACAAAGACGGUGCUAUCACUCUACUCAAUGGGGAGGAUGGAAUCUAUUUGGGGCAAAGAUUGCCUCAAUUUUAAGCCGGGGAGAUGGAUUAAUCCUGAAACGGGACGCAUCAAAACUGAGCCCUCUUUCAAGUUUAGUGCUUUUAAUUCAGGGCCUAGGAGCUGUUUGGGAAAGGAGAUAACUUUCAUACAGAUGAAAAUUGUUGCAGCUGCUAUCAUGAGCCGAUUCCAUUUUCGGGUGGCUCAAGGUCAUUUGAUAUCGCCGAGUGCUUCAGUCGUGCUUCACAUGAAACAUGGACUCAAGGUUAAGGUUUCGGAUUAUGCUUGAUUCAGAUGAGACUGCUAAUUUACAAAUUUAAACCCUAGUUUUACUAGCUUUUAUCAUGUAAAUAAACUUGUAAUAAAACUUUUCAAGUACGAAAAGCAAUUAAUGCAUAAGCAUUUCCUAAUUAUCAGCCAAUACUAUGAUAAAAAUUAAAACACUCUUCUUCUUCUUCUAUAUCGCUUGUCUCCUUUCAGAAUGAUUGAUUUCUUUUCUGGUGUACAACACUUUUUAGAAAAUUAAUCGAAAUACACAAGGUAAUUGUCGGAUAAUAAUCAAUUAAAAAAUGUAGAAUUAUUUUAAAAACCGAAUUGCUCACCCAAAAUUCGAUACAGAUUGCAACGCGACGACGACAAAUCAUCUCGUUAAUGGAGUCGAAGCCUCUGCAUCCGAAUCGACGAAACCCUAACCUAUGAGCGAUUCCAGAAGCAAUAGCUGAAAGAAGAAGAGCUCAUCAUCAAAGAACCCUAAUCGUCUCAAUUGUUGGGAUAAAACUUUGUUAUGUUUUUAACUUUUUU
rnacentral:lncRNA from 1 species